AAAUUGAAGAGUUUGAUCAUGGCUCAGAUUGAACGCUGGCGGCAGGCCUAACACAUGCAAGUCGAACGGUAACAGGAAGCAGUUUGCUGCUUCGCUGACGAGUGGCGGACGGGUGAGUAAUGUCUGGGAAACUGCCUGAUGGAGGGGGAUAACUACUGGAAACGGUGGCUAAUACCGCAUAACGUCGCAAGACCAAAGAGGGGGACCUUCGGGCCUCUUGCCAUCAGAUGUGCCCAGAUGGGAUUAGCU
rnacentral:rRNA from 2 species